GACGAACGCUGGCGGCGUGCCUAAUACAUGCAAGUCGAACAGUGGCGGACGGGUGAGUAACACGUGAGUAACCUGCCCUCCACUUUGGGAUAACUCCGAGAAAUCGGGGCUAAUACUGGAUAGUGGGGGAUGGGCUCGCGGCCUAUCAGUUUGUUGGUGAGGUAGUGGUCACCAAGGCGUGACGGGUAGCCGGCCUGAGAGGGCGACCGGCCACACUGGGACUGAGACACGGCCCAGACUCCUACGGGAGGCAGCAGUGGGGAAUAUUGCACAAUGGGCGAAAGCCUGAUGCAGCGACGCCGCGUGGGGGAUGACGGCCUUCGGGUUGUAAACCUCUUUCAGCAAGGAAGCGGUACUUGCAGAAGAAGCGCCGGCUAACUACGUGCCAGCAGCCGCGGUAAUAC
rnacentral:rRNA from 1 species